UUUACCCUGGAGUGUGCGUCAGAGGAUUUAAGUCCCUGAGCCGAUAAGCAAUCCUUAAGGGUUAGUAUUUGGGCACUAUUGAGCAAGCUCGGCUCGUACCGAGAAGCCUACGGUUACCUUUGCUGAUCCGCCUUGAACCAGCAGGUUCAAGGGCCACAAUCUUCAACGGCACUUUGGGGUAUUC
rnacentral:other from 1 species